ensembl:piRNA 21ur-15025 ncRNA
UCGAGUAACCAUUGGAUACGU